AUGAAGAUGCCCCAAGUUCCAGAAAAGAUCUCGUGUUUCAUUUUGACAAGAUCCUGGAGUGUUACCAACCUAGAGUGCAUGCUGAUGAAGCACCACAAGGGCUGUUUCCACUGCCUCUGUAUCUUCAAGAAGACUGGGUCGAUCCUGUUCAUCAGGGCAAUUCCUGGAGCUGGUUUCUGCAGUAUAGGCAUCAAGAGCAAUAAAUCUCCUCUACGUACUACAUUGGCAGCAUCCCUGUAGACUCUCGUAAUUUUUUCUGUUGCAUCUUAAAUGUCUCCCCAACCAAAAGUUUAUUUAAGAAGAAUUUACUCUCCUAAAUGCAAUAAGAAAAAGAGCUGAAAAAGAGGUACAACUAGAGGAAGGAAAUGGCAUACGAUAAAAUGAUCAGUUGUUGAUAUUAUGAUAUUACACCCAAGAUAAUCAAAUGAAAAUUAGUCAACACUUAGUUAAAUUGAAGAGAUGUAAAAUAAAUAUUACCAAAAUGAUUCA
rnacentral:lncRNA from 1 species